UGAGGAAUAUUGGUCAAUGGGCGAGAGCCUGAACCAGCCAAGUAGCGUGAAGGAUGACUGCCUAUGGGUUGUAAACUUCUUUAUAAAGGAAUAAAGUCGGGUAUGGAUACCCGUUUGCAUGUACUUUAUGAAUAAGGAUCGGCUAACUCCGUGCC
rnacentral:rRNA from 1 species